UACGGAGGGUGCAAGCGUUAUCCGGAUUCACUGGGUUUAAAGGGUGCGUAGGCGGGCAGGUAAGUCCGUGGUGAAAUCUCUGAGCUUAACUCAGAAACUGCCAUGGAUACUAUUUGUCUUGAAUGUUGUGGAGGUAAGCGGAAUAUGUCAUGUAGCGGUGAAAUGCUUAGAUACGACAUAGAACACCAAUUGCGAAGGCAGCUUACUACACAAAUAUUGACGCUGAGGCACGAAAGCGUGGGGAUCAAACAGG
rnacentral:rRNA from 1 species